UACGGGGGGGGCAAGCGUUGUUCGGAUUCAUUGGGCGUAAAGGGUGCGUAGGCGGCGCGGUAAGUCGGGUGUGAAAUCUCGGAGCUUAACUCCGAAACUGCAUUCGAUACUGCCGUGCUUGAGGACUGGAGAGGAGACUGGAAUUUACGGUGUAGCGGUGAAAUGCGUAGAUAUCGUAAGGAAGACCAGUGGCGAAGGCGGGUCUCCUGGACAGUUCCUGACGCUGAGGCACGAAGGUCAGGGGAGCAAACGGG
rnacentral:rRNA from 1 species